rnacentral:rRNA from 1 species
GAUGAACGCUGGCGGCGUGCCUAAUACAUGCAAGUCGAGCGAACGGACGAGAAGCUUGCUUCUCUGAUGUUAGCGGCGGACGGGUGAGUAACACGUGGAUAACCUACCUAUAAGACUGGGAUAACUUCGGGAAACCGGAGCUAAUACCGGAUGAUAUUUUGAACCGCAUGGUUCAAAAGUGAAAGACGGUCUUGCUGUCACUUAUAGAUGGAUCCGCGCUGCAUUAGCUAGUUGGUAAGGUAACGGCUUACCAAGGCAACGAUGCGUAUGCGAGCUGAGAGGGUGAUAGGCCACACUGGAACGGAGACACGGUCCAGACUCCUACGGGAGGCAGCAGUAGGGAAUCUGCCGCAAAGGGCGAAAGCCUGACGGAGCAACGCCGCGUGAGUGAUGAAGGUCUUCGGAUCGUAAAACUCUGUUAUUAGGGAAGAACAUAUGUGUAAGUAACUGUGCACAGCUUGACGGUACCUAAUCAGAAAGCCCCGGCUAACUACGUG